AUUGAACGCUGGCGGCAGGCUUAACACAUGCAAGUCGAGCGAGCGGCGGACGGGUGAGUAAUGUCUGGGAAACUGACUGCUGGAGGGGGAUAACUACUGGAAACGGUAGCUAAUACCGCAUACCAUAAGAUGUGCCCAGAUGGGAUUAGCUAGUAGGUGGGGUAAUGGCUCACUUAGGCGACGAUCCCUAGCUGGUCUGAGAGGAGGACCAGCCACACGGGAACUGGGACACGGUCAAGCCUCCUACGGAGGGAAGAAGUGGGGAAUAUUGGACAAGGGGCGAAAGCUGAACGCAGCCAUGCCGGGUAGGGAAAGAGGGCUUUCGGUUUGGAAAGCACUUUCAGAGAGAAGGCGUUACUUAACGAAGAAGCACCGGCUAACUCCGUGCCAGCAGCCGCGGUAAUUC
rnacentral:rRNA from 1 species